rnacentral:sRNA from 1 species
UUGCAUGAGGGAUGGAAGCGGCAUCCUUUUGCUUUUUUUCUUUAAAAAAGCAAAAGAUAUAGCGAACAGCCCGGCCCUUG